AACGAACGCUGGCGGCAUGCCUAACACAUGCAAGUCGAACGAGACCUCCGGGUCUAGUGGCGCACGGGUGCGUAACGCGUGGGAACCUGCCCUUAGGUUCGGAAUAACUCCCCGAAAGGGGUGCUAAUACCGGAUAAUGUCUUCGGACCAAAGAUUUAUCGCCUUUGGAUGGGCCCGCGUUGGAUUAGCUAGUUGGUAGGGUAAAAGCCUACCAAGGCGAGGAUCCAUAGCUGGUCUGAGAGGAUGAUCAGCCACACUGGGGCUGAGACACGGCCCAGACUCCUACGGGAGGGAGCAGUGGGGAAUAUUGGACGACGGGCGAAAGCCUGAUCCAGCAAUGCCGGGUGAGUGAUGAAGGCCGUAGGGUUGUGAAGCUCUUUUACCCGGGGUGAUAAUGACGGUACCGGGAGAAUAAGCACCGGCUAACUCCGUG
rnacentral:rRNA from 1 species